UUCCAUUCAUCUUCCUCAUCAAUAAUCUUGAUCUGUUUCACAUUUUCACACGUGGAAACAAGCUGAAUCGCAUCUGCCAUCAUCACAAGGUGCAAAUUCGAUUUCCUUAAUUGUGUAAAUUGUUAUAUGCGUUUUGUAGAUCAUUCAACGUAGAUUAACAUGAUGCUUAUAGUUUUGAAUUUGGUGGAGAAUUGUGAGAGAAAUCUGGAUCUAAAGUUUGAUGAGCAUUUCUUUUUUUGUUCGAUUUGCUUUGUGUGUUG
rnacentral:lncRNA from 1 species